rnacentral:lncRNA from 1 species
CAAGUUCAUGGGGUGGCAUUAUCAGCUCCUCGAGCAGUGGGAUGCACAGGCCUGCUGUAAAUCCAAGCAAAUCAAGGAUAAUGUCAUAGAGGAGAGUUGAAAGCCGGGUUGCCUGUCUUCAAAGCUCAUCAUCUCAGUUACCAGGCUGGAGGUGUCCUAAUAUGGAAUGGGAGGAAGAUGGAGUAGUUACUAGGUCUCCCAUACCCGGUGAUGUACAGUAGUGCUGGAUAGCUCUGGAGAGCAGUUCUGGCUGGCAAAGAAAGCAGCAAGGAUUGCUAGGAACCAUCUCGCCAUUCAAAGCUGAAAGUUGGCUGCAGAGUAGAUUUUGGUUUUCCCCAUGGAUGCUGAAAGAGAAGGGAAGAAUCAUUUCUGACAAUUCUGCAUGGCUUCUGCAUUGCAACUGGAUGUAGAAUCUGCUCCUGUUUGCAUCCAUGUUCCCAGGAUGAAUUUUUAUUGACAGAAGAAAAGGUAGCUGCCUCACCAGCCCAAGGAGAUGGUGCCAUAUUGAAGACUCAAUUUUGGUUUAUUUGGCUGGAAGAAGGGACACUCAGCAAUGUAGGAAACCAAUACAUCUUCCAAUCUGAUGGGAUCUUCAAACUCAUAAGAUUUUCCUAAAUGCUGACUGGAGGGUUUGAGCUGAUAUCCAUGGAACGAGAAUGAUUAUUCGUUUUUUGUGUUUUUUUGGUGCCAGGGAUUGAACUCGGGACCUUGAGCUUGCAAGGCAGGCACUGGAACCACUGAGCUAAAUCCCCGACCUGAGAAUGAUUAUUUGUAAUGCAGACCAUUUUCUUGCCUCCAGCCCAUAGAAAAC